AUGGCGUGUGGGCUGAGCUGGCUUCUCCUGGUGGCUGUGUUAGGAGGGGUCCAGUGUGAGGUGCAGCUGGUGGAGUCUGGGGGAGAAUUGGUGCAGCCUGGGGGUUCCCUGAAACUCUCCUGUGUAGCCUCUGGAUUCACCUUCAGUGGCUACAGGAUGCACUGGGUCCACCAGGCUCUAGGGAAGGGCCUAGAGUGGAUUUCAGAGAUCAGUAGUAGUGGUGGUAGUACAUACUAUGCCGACUCUGUGAAGGGCCGAUUCACCGUCUCCAGAGACAACAGCAAGAACACGCUCUCUCUGCAAAUGAGCAGUCUGAGGGAGCAGGACACUGCCCUGUACUACUGUGCGAGUGCUUACUUCGACGUCUGGGGCCAGGGGACCAUGGUCACCGUCUCCUCAGCCUCAGUGACGGCCCCGGCUGUCUUCCCGCUGUCUGCCUGCAAAGACGCAUCCAGCACCACGGCACUGGGCUGCCUGGUGUCCGGCUACUUCCCCCAGGAGCUAUCAGUGUCCUGGAACUCAGGCACCCUCCGCACCGGCGUGCUCACCUUCCCCCCGGUACAGAGUGGGGGGCUGUUCUCGCUCACCAGCAUGGUCACCGUCCCCACCUCCAGCGCCUCCAGCCAGACCUUCACCUGCAACGUCGUCCAUCCGGCCUCCAAGACCACGGUCGACAAGGUCGUAGACCCGAAUCCCAACCCGCCCUGCCCUGAUUGUUCUCAGUGCCCCAGAUGUCCAGAUGUGCCUGAAGGACCUCUGGUCUACAUCUUCCCGCCGAAACCCAAGGACGCCCUCAUGAUCACACGCACGCCUGAGGUGACCUGCGUGGUGGUGGACGUGGACCCCAAAAACCCAGAAAUCACCUUCAACUGGUACGUGGACAACAAGGAGAUGUUCACGGCCACGACGGAGCAGGUGGAAGAGCACUUCAACGGCACCCAGCGCAUGGUCAGCAGCCUCCCCAUCCUGCACCAGGACUGGCUGCUGGGCAAGAAGAUCAAGUGCAAGGUCAGCAGCCCCCUGCUCCCGGCCCCCGUCGAGAAGGUCAUCUUCAAGCGGAAAGGGCGCGUCCAGGAGCCGCAGGUGUACGUGCUGCCCCCGCACCGGGAUGAGCUGGCCCAGCAGAGCACCGUCAGCCUCACCUGCCUGAUCAAGGGCUUCCUCCCCGAGGAUAUCGAUGUCGAGUGGCAGAAGAACGGGCAUCUGGAGCCCGAGAACAGCUACCGCACGACGCCAGUGCAGAAGGACACGGACGGCUCCUUCUUCCUCUACAGCAAGCUCUCCGUGCCCAAGGCCUCCUGGGAGCGCGGCGACAACUUCGUUUGCGUGGUGAUGCACGAGGCGCUGCACAACCACAACACGCAGCGGGCCAUCUCCGUGUCUCAGGGUAAAUGAGCACAUGUCGCGGCUGGAGCCAGAGCGGGGCCCACACUCCCGGCACAGCCGGAAAUAAAGUGCCUGUCUGGGA